rnacentral:rRNA from 1 species
UACGUAGGUGGCAAGCGUUGUCCGGAUUUACUGGGCGUAAAGAGCGCGCAGGCGGUCGUUCAAGUCGCGUGUGAAAGCCCCCGGCUCAACUGGGGAGGGUCACGCGAUACUGAUCGACUCGAAGGCAGGAGAGGGAAGUGGAAUUCCCGGUGUAGUGGUGAAAUGCGUAGAGAUCCGGAGGAACACCGACGGCGUAGGCAGCGCCCUGGACGACACCUGACGCUGAGGCACGAAAGCUGGGGGAGCGAACAGG